GAUGAAGAACGUAGCGAAAUGCGAUACGUAAUGUGAAUUGCAGAAUUCAGUGAAUCAUCGAGUCUUUGAACGCACAUUGCGCCCCCUGGUAUUCCGGGGGGCAUGCCUGUCCGAGCGUCAUUGCUGCCCUCAAGCACGGCUUGUGUGUUGGGCCUCCGUCCUCCUCCCGGGGGCCGGGCCCGAAAGGCAGCGGCGGCACCGCGUCCGGUCCUCGAGCGUAUGGGGCUUCGUCACCCGCUCUUGUAGGCCCGGCCGGCGCUUGCCGACACAUCAAUCUUUUUUCCAGGUUGACCUCGGAUCAGGUAGGGAUACCCGCUGAACUUAAGCAUAUCAAUAAGCGGAGG
rnacentral:misc_RNA from 1 species